ensembl:snRNA U1 U1 spliceosomal RNA
AUACUUACCUGGCAGGGGAGAUACCAUGAUCACGUAGGUGGUUUUCCCAGGGCGAGGCCCACCCAUUGCACUUGGGGUGUGCUGACCCCUGCGAUUUCCCCAAAUGCGGGAAACUCGACUGCAUAACUUGUGGUAGUGGGGGACUGCGUUCGCGCUAUCCCCUG